rnacentral:rRNA from 1 species
GACGAACGCUGGCGGCGUGCUUAACACAUGCAAGUCGAACGAAGUGGUGAACGGGUGAGUAAUACGUGGGUAAACUGCCCUCCUUUUGGGGAUAAGCCUUGGAAACGGGGUCUAAUACCGAAUAAAGGGGGAUGGGCUCUCGGCCUAUCAGGUUGGUGGUGGGGUGAUGGCCUACCACGGCGGUGACGGGUAGCCGGCCUGAGAGGGUGACCUGCCACAUGGACACGGCGAAACGGCCUAGACGCGGACGGGGGGGAGAAUUGGGGGAUAUUGGACAAUGGGCGAAAGCGUGAUGCAGCGAGGCCGCGGGGGGGAUGAGGGCUGUCGGGUUGUAAACCUCUUUCGCUAGCGAACGGGUAGGUGGAGAAGAAGCGCCGGCUAACUACGUGCCAGCCGCCGCGGUAAUUC